rnacentral:rRNA from 1 species
GACGAACGCUGGCGGCGUGCUUAACACAUGCAAGUCGAACGCUGAAGCUCAGCUUUUGUUGGGUGGAUGAGUGGCGAACGGGUGAGUAACACGUGAGUAACCUGCCCUCUUCUUUGGGAUAACGCCCGGAAACGGGUGCUAAUACUGGAUAUUCACUGAUCUUCGCAUGGGGGUUGGUGGAAAGGUUUGUUCUGGUGGGGGAUGGGCUCGCGGCCUAUCAGCUUGUUGGUGGGGUGAUGGCCUACCAAGGCUUUGACGGGUAGCCGGCCUGAGAGGGUGACCGGUCACAUUGGGACUGAGAUACGGCCCAGACUCCUACGGGAGGCAGCAGUGGGGAAUAUUGCACAAUGGGCGAAAGCCUGAUGCAGCGACGCCGCGUGAGGGAUGGAGGCCUUCGGGUUGUAAACCUCUUUCGCUCAUGGUCAAGCCGCGACUUUGGUUGUGGUGAGGGUAGUGGGUAAAGAAGCGCCGGCUAACUACGUGCCAGCAGCCGCGGUAAUACGUAGGGCGCGAGCGUUGUCCGGAAUUAUUGGGCGUAAAGGGCUUGUAGGCGGUUGGUCGCGUCUGCCGUGAAAUUCUCUGGCUUAACUGGGGGCGUGCGGUGGGUACGGGCUGACUUGAGUGCGGUAGGGGAGACUGGAACUCCUGGUGUAGCGGUGGAAUGCGCAGAUAUCAAGAAGAACACCGGUGGCGAAGGCGGGUCUCUGGGCCGUUACUGACGCUGAGGAGCGAAAGCGUGGGGAGCGAACAGG